ensembl:snoRNA
UUGGUGCUCAAUAAAUAUCUCCUGGACCAAAUCCAGGAGCCUUUAAUGCUGGAUCAAAGAUGGAGUUCUCCAGUGGAUGCAAUACUCACUGCAUGGUGCUGUGUUUUCUUGAUGGAGAUUGAAGC